rnacentral:piRNA from 1 species
UGGCUGGUAAAAGCUGAGGUUAUUGAC